AUUUCGUUCCUAUUCUCUCCUUCCAUUUCUCCUCUUCGUUCUCGGGCUUUCUUCUCCGGCGAUUAUUCUUCUCUCUUUAUUCUCCUUUUAUUCUCCAGCUCUCUUCGUGCUUUGUUUCUUCCUCGUUCUCCGACUAAAGUGAAUUGAUAUGGACUUGAUUCAAGAUAAUCAUUCUGAUGACGAUUUUGAUUCUGACGACGAUGACGAAGGAUAUUCAAAUAUGUUAGGAUUUUUAGCACCAUUUUGAGGUCAAAGAUAUCAUUUACGAGAUUUUAGAGAAAGGAGACAUCGCCCUCGAGGUAGAGAAGAAGUGUUUAAUUAUCGACAUUCUUCAUUGCGAAAUGUCAUUGAACAUUGUUUUGGUUUGCUGAAGGCUCGAUUUUCUAUUCUUAAGCAAAUGCCUCCUUACCUGAUCAAGACACAAAAAUAUAUACCGAUAGCAUGUUGCACAGUUCACAAUUAUAUUAGAUUGAAUGAUCGUCAAGAUAAUCUUUUCAAUGACUUUAGCAAUGAAUUAAUGAUCGUUGAAGAUACACAUAAUUUGUCGGCCAAUUUGCGGAAUGAUAUAAUUGAAUUAGAUGUGAGUCGACAAUAUCUACGAGAAAUGGCACAGUGAGAGAUGAUAUUGCAAAUCAAAUUUGGGCAACAUUUGAAGGAUAAAUACAAUUUUAUGUUUAUGUUAUUCUUUUUAUUUGUGCAGUGAGACUUCUUUGUAUUAAAUGAUAUAAAGUACUUUUGAUAAUUUUCAUUUUUAUGUUUAA